AUUGAACGCUGGCGGCAUGCCUUACACAUGCAAGUCGAACGGCAGCACGGGGGCAACCCCGGUGGCGAGUGGCGAACGGGUGAGUAAUGCAUCGGAACGUGCCCCGUAGCGGGGGAUAACCAGUCGAAAGACUGGCUAAUACCGCAUACGCUCCACGGAGGAAAGCAGGGGAUCGCAAGACCUUGCACUAUGGGGAGCGGCCGAUGCCCGAUUAGCUAGUUGGUGAGGAAAGGCUCACCAAGGCGACGAUCGGUAGCUGGUUUGAGAGAACGACCAGCC
rnacentral:rRNA from 1 species